CUCCCUCUCUGCCCUGCCACAGUUGGUAGUGAUUUGACUGUCUCUGUGGAGAAGCCAAGGAUCAAAUGCUCCACGGCGCCAGACUGUUUCUUUUGCAGCCUGCAGGUGAGGGGAAGUUGUCCAGUGUCUGGCUGUGUCAUGCCUGCUCUGUGGAUGGGCAGUUCAGUUUGUAAAUCUGCCACCCUAACCCCCUCCACCAACAUGAAAUUAAUUUUUUUUAAAAUGGGAAAAUGCUUAAUUGCAGUUGACAUAUAGGCACUCUCUGCUAUGAACUUUACAUGCAAUCACAGAUAACAGCAUCAAAAUUAAUGCCUGCUUCCCACUUGUCCUUCUAUAAGCAAUAAACAUUUGGCAAGUCAGUAAAUAACAAAAUUCUCAUGUGGCCAUCUACAGGUCACCAGGAUACUUAAGAAGUUUGCGUUAAUUAUACCAUGUUUGCCAUCAAAGAGGGAAUAUUAACCCUUUCAAGCUGUUGCAGGAAAGCUGUGGAGUCAUUUGAAAGAACUGCUGAAGCCCCUGCUCAGAGCAGCACACUCCUCGGGGCGCUGGGGGAUGCACCACCCCUCCUGACAGCCUGAUGGAUUAUGGCCCCAGUUCUGUCAGCAGAUCCAACCAAACCAGCAGAAUGACAGCAGGCAGGCAGCCCCCAGGUAAGCCACC
rnacentral:lncRNA from 12 species